GUUUCACCAGUGACUUGGUGACAACCAGCCUUGCUCACGAAGCGUCAGCCGUAUCCUUUCUGUGUGCAGUGGGGUGUGGGUUGUGUGGAGCCGCGGUGUCUGUGGAAUUCACAGGCUGGGGCCGGAAUCCAUGGCCCCCGUCGCCGCUGCCACCCCCCAGGUGCUGGGGUGACCUGAUCCAGGGUUGGGGUCUAAGCUGCUGGGGGGUUGGAGUCUUGGGCUCUGGCCCACGUCCGCCUCUGAUUGGUUCUACCACCUGAGCCGGUCACUGACCCUCCAUGGGCCUCAGCUUACCCUAUGGUAAAGUGAGAACUAGGGGGUCAGACUCCUUGAUCACCAAGAUCUCUGACCACAGCCAAGGCUAAGGGAAGCGCAGGAAAACGUGGGGCUCGUCCAAAUUCCCAGCCUCUCUCUGCCCCCUGGUGGACGCCGGCAGCCUAGCACCCGGGGGGAGAUGACCCCGACACUGUGUGACCUCUGCCAAGGCACCCAUCCCUCUGAGCCCCAGUUCCCACCGGUUACAUAGGAAUGAUUAUAAUACCCACCUCUUUGGGCAAUUGUGAGGAGGCAAGGAGAUAAUACAUGCAAAGUGCUUGGAUGGGAUGGGUACUAGCCACUCAACAGAAGGCAGAUCCUAGAAUGGGGAUGGCAAGUCCUGUCAUCAGUGAAGAAUGUAAUGACUGCAAGCUUAGAUGACAUGUCUGUUACUGGAAACCAGAGUUGUUUACUUAAGCUGUAAAUGAACUCAUAGUCCCUGGGAUAAUUAUCUCACCUCUGGAUAAAUAAACUCAACAGCCUUAUGUAUUUUAUUAAUUUUUCUUAAAAAAAAGCUUAAAAUAUUUUUCCUUUGAUUUGUUCUCUUUCUUUGGUUUCUGACUUUAUUAUGUCCUUUCUUUCUGCUUAGGCAUUUGUUUUAUUGCUCUUUUUUCACCAACUCAAACUGAAUGGUCACCUUAACAGUUUUAUUGAGGUAUAAUUUACACACCAUAAAAUUCACCUGCUUUAAGGAUACUAUUCAAUGAUUUUUAGUACAGUUACAAAGUUAUGCAACCAUCAUCAAAACCCAAUUUUAGAAUAUUUCAAUCACCCAAAAAA
rnacentral:lncRNA from 10 species